ensembl:lncRNA
AGAGAAGAGAGGUAGGCAGUUAGGUGGUUAAUGAAAGGACAGAGAGAAAAGGAGAGAAGAAGAGAAAAGAGGAGAGAAUAGGGGUAGGCAGUUAUGUGGUUAAUGAAAGGAUAGAGAGAAGAGGAGAGAAGAAGAGAAAAGAGGAGAGAAUAGGGGUAGGCAGUUAUGUGGUUAAUGAAAGGAUAGAGAGAAGAGGAGAGAAGAAGAGAAAAGAGGAGAGAAUAGGGGUAGGCAGUUAUGUGGUUAAUGAAAGGAUAGAGUGAAGAGGAGAGAAUAGGGGUAGGCAGUUAGGUGGUUAAUGAAAGGAUAGAGUGAAGAGGAGAGAAUAGGGGUAGGCAGUUAGGUGGUUAAUGAAAGGAUAGAGAGAAGAGGAGAGAAGAAGAGAAAAGAGGAGAGAAUAGGGGUAGGCAGUUAUGUGGUUAAUGAAAGGAUAGAGAGAAGAGGAGAGAAUAGGGGUAGGCAGUUAGGUGGUUAAUGAAAGGAUAGAGAGAAGAGGAGAGAAUAGGGGUAGGCAGUUAGGUGGUUAAUGAAAGGACAGAGAGAAGAGGAGAGAAUAGGGGUAGGCAGUUAGGUGGUUAAUGAAAGGAUAGAGUGAAGAGGAGAGAAUAGGGGUAGGCAGUUAGG